UUAAGUUUGACUAAAUUGAGCUUUUCUGUACUUUCAGGUUAUCUUGAGUGCCGAUUCUUGAGUUGUCAAUUGGCACAUACUCAUUUUCACAGAAUCACAAUGUCUUCUUCUUGUUCAACUGGGAAAUAAAUUGAGUCGAGGUGGAAGCAUGGGACAUGCCCAAAUCCAUUGGACAAACAAAAGAUUCAAUGCAAUUAUUGUAAGAGAAUCUAUUCAUCCGGAAGUAAUAGAUUCAGGAAGCAUUUGUUCGGGAUAAAAAGGCAUGUUGCACCUUGCAUGCAAGUUUCAGUAGAAGUAAGGAAUGAGAUGUUGGGGCUUCUAAAAGGGUUCAAGAAGAAGAAAGAAGAGUUCAAAGAAAAAGGGAUAAUAUUAGGAGAUCAUAAGAUAUUUGGAACCAAAGAGAAGAGGAGUAUGAAAGUAGGGCAAGGCCAAUAAUAGAUGUGGAGAUCGGGCAUAGUAAGCGAUGUAGUGUAGGGCCUAUGAAUUCUUAUUUUGCCCCCUCUGAUGCUGCUGUUGCAGCUCAAGGAAAGGGCCAAACUACAACUGAUAGCCAUCUAAAAGAGGAUCGAAAAGAAACAGUAGAUCAGUAUGUGGCCAGGUGAAUUUACCAAGCAAGCAUCUCUUGAAGAGCUUACAAGCCAUAGUGAAGCAGUGGAUAUACAAUUCCUACCCUAUAUGAGCUCAAGGGGCCUCUAUUUAAAAAUGACCAAUGAGUAUCUCAAGACUCAUAGGGAUGCAUGGGGUCGGCUUGGAGUAACCAUAAACUGAUGGAUGGUCUGACCAGAGGCAUAGAAGUGUAAUGAAUUAGAUGUAAAUUGUCCACUGGGCACAAUGUUUUUGUGCUCAAUUGAUACAUCUCAUAAAGAACAUGAUGCUUCAUUCAUUUUGGAGUUGGUUGAGAAAUGUAUAGAGGUGGGGGAGCAGUAGUCCAGGUGGUUACUGACAUGGCUGCCUAUAGUAUGGUAGCUGGUAGGGAGCUUGAGAAAAAGAAGCCGCACAUUUUUUGGACCCUAUGCGCGGUAUGUCACGGCUUUGAUGAGAAAAUUUUGUAAGAAUGGGUUAGUGAGACCAGGGAUAACUAGAUUCGUCACCUCUUAUUUGUGCUUGAAAUCGCUUCAGAGCGAAAAAGAUAAUUCAAUAAAAAUGUUUGUUUCUAAUGAGUAAAACUAAUUGAAGUGGUCUACAUGCAAAGGGGAGGAAGGUUGUUGAUAUUGUCAUAUCAAGCACCUUUUGUAAGCAAGUUGAUUGGUCAAUUAAAGCCUUCGAGCCACUUGUUAAAGUUUUGCAUAGUAGAUAGAGAGAAGGAGACUGCUAUGGGGCCAUAUUUACAAGGCCAUGGAAUUUACCAAGGAGAUUAAGCAAAAUUUUGAUCACAAUGAUAAAUUCAAAAGGCCUAUUUUGGAUAUUCUAGAAAGUGAGUGGGACUCAAGCUUGGGAAGCCCCUCCACUUGGCAAACUACUAUUUGAACCCUGCUUAUUUUUAUGACAAUCCACAUACUGAAACUCAGGGUUCUUUUAUGGAUGCCAUCGAUACAUGUGUGGUCAGACUCAUCCCCAUUGUACAAGAGCAAGAAAAGGUGUCAAUAGACCUAGAGAAUUAUAGAAUGGCAUUGGGGCCACUUGGCACUGAACUUGAACUAAGGCAAAGGAUAACUCUGAAGGCGGGUACAUGGAGGACCAAUGAUCAAGUGCUAAGCACUUGCAAAGGAUGGCUAUACGAAUUCUCAAUUUGACAUGUAGCUCAUCGAGAUAUACACACCAAAAGAAAAACAGACAUGAGCACAAAAGACCAAAUGAUCUUGUGUACAUUCAAUACAAUCAGAAAUUGAGGGACGCCACAUGGAUCGAGAUUCCAUUGAUCCUAUUGAAAUUAAAGAGUUGGAUGAGUCAUGCAAGUGGUUGAUAGAGUCCGAAGAUGAGGAUCUCGUACAUGCUGCAGAGGACUUGACCUGUAGUCAAGUGAGGCAAGCUGUGGGACCUCAGUCAGACCCCAUGAGGAUCAUACACUCUCAAUUUCAAAGGAGGGGUUCCCAAGCUCAAAGGAAGGAGUCCCAAUCUCAUAGGAAGGGGUCCAAGAGCAAGGGGAAGGACAACCUAACAGAGUGAGGGAGGAGGAAGAGGAGUCAGAGCUACAAGAUUCAAAAGAGACCGAUGAAGAAGACCAAUAUGCAUCAGAGGGAUAUGAUUCUGAUGAUGAUGGCAGGGAAUCAUCAUCAUCGUCUAAUAGAAUGUUGAUGGGAGAGACAAGAGAUGACAUUGUUGAACGUGAUAAUGAAACCCAAUUGGGCUCAUGAUCAUUUAAUUCUUUUUUAAGUCAUAUACUCUUGUUUGAAUGUUGGAACUUUGGAUUUUGGAACUCUACAAUGUGUUGGAUUUUUUUUUUGGGUAGUGGUUUGAAGUUGACACUUGAGGCUUUUAAACUUUCAAGUUUGAAGUAAUGUUUGAAAUGCUUAUGGAUGUACAUUUAUGUCAAAAUUUGGGGCAAUUUCACAGUUUAAAGUUAUGUGACUUUGUAUUUUCGCUUAAAUGGCUAAUGAAUGCCAAAAAUUUGGCUAUUUUAUAGUUUUAGUUUUUAAACAUGCAGUGUUCUAAAAAAUGGUCUGCCGAGCACCUAGGCGCUCGCCUAGGUGCCCAAGAGACCUCCAGCCGCACGCCUGGGCCUAGGCGCCUCA